rnacentral:snRNA from 1 species
AAAUGCCAGGGUGAUCUGACUGUGACAUCUGUCACCCUACUGACCACCAGUGUUGAUUCAACUAAUCUGGUUGCUAGGUUGUUGUCCCCUUCCUCCUUCACCAUUCCAUGUGAUUCUCUACCAAACCCUGCACUCUCUUGGUCUAAUAGCAUAAUCUGUUUUUCU